rnacentral:rRNA from 1 species
AGCGAACGCUGGCGGCAGGCCUAACACAUGCAAGUCGAACGGAUCCUUCGGGAUUAGUGGCGGACGGGUGAGUAACACGUGGGAACGUGCCCUUUGGUUCGGAACAACUCAGGGAAACUUGAGCUAAUACCGGAUGUGCCCUUCGGGGGAAAGAUUUAUCGCCAUUGGAGCGGCCCGCGUCUGAUUAGCUAGUUGGUGAGGUAACGGCCCACCAAGGCGACGAUCAGUAGCUGGUCUGAGAGGAUGAUCAGCCACACUGGGACUGAGACGCGGCCCAGACUCCUACGGGAGGCAGCAGUGGGGAAUCUUGCGCAAUGGGCGAAAGCCUGACGCAGCCAUGCCGCGUGAAUGAUGAAGGUCUUAGGAUUGUAAAAUUCUUUCAGCGGGGACGAUAAUGACGGUACCCGCAGAAGAAGCUCCGGCUAACUUCGUG